UACGUAGGGACCAAGCGUUGUUCGGAUUUACUGGGCGUAAAGGGCGCGUAGGCGGCAAUUCAAGUCAGUUGUGAAAUCUCCGAGCUUAACUCGGAACGGUCAAGUGAUACUGUCGGACUAGAGUACAGAAGGGGCAACUGGAAUUCUCGGUGUAGCGGUGAAAUGCGUAGAUAUCGAGAGGAACACCUGCGGCGAAGGCGGGUUGCUGGGCUGAUACUGACGCUGAGGCGCGAAAGCCAGGGAGCGAACGGG
rnacentral:rRNA from 1 species